rnacentral:rRNA from 1 species
UACGUAGGGGGCAAGCGUUGUCCGGAUUUAUUGGGCGUAAAGAGCGUGUAGGCGGUUUGUCGCGUCUGCUGUGAAAUCCCAGGGCUUAACCCUGGGCCUGCAGUGGGUACGGGCAAACUAGAGUGCGGUAGGGGAGAUCGGAAUUCCUGGUGUAGCGGUGAAAUGCGCAGAUAUCAGGAGGAACACCGGUGGCGAAGGCGGAUCUCUGGGCCGUAACUGACGCUGAGGAGCGAAAGCAUGGGUAGCGAACAGG